rnacentral:ncRNA from 1 species
UGUCUUUGAGGCAGGGUUCGAUUCCCUACCGGCGGUACAGCCCGCGAGCUUUCGAGCAUGACUCGGUGAGAUUCCGAGGCCGACAGUAUAGUCUGGAUGAGAAAAGAC